CAAUAGCGUAUAUUUAAGUUGUUGCAGUUAAAAAGCUCGUAGUUGGAUUUCGGAUGGGACUUGCCGGUCCGUCGUUUCGAUGUGCACUGGCCAGUCCUAUCUUGUUGUCGGGGACUAGCUCCUGGGCUUCACUGUCCGGGACUAGGAGCUGACGAGGUUACUUUGAGUAAAUUAGAGUGUUCAAAGCAAGCCUACGCUCUGAAUACAUUAGCAUGGAAUAACACGAUAGGACUCUGGCUUAUCUUGUUGGUCUGUGAGACCAGAGUAAUGAUUAAGAGGGACAGUCGGGGGCAUUCGUAUUUCAUUGUCAGAGGUGAAAUUCUUGGAUUUAUGAAAGACGAACUUCUGCGAAAGCAUUUGUCAAGGAUUUUUUCAUUAA
rnacentral:rRNA from 1 species